GAUGAAGAACGUAGCGAAAUGCGAUACGUAAUGUGAAUUGCAGAAUUCAGUGAAUCAUCGAAUCUUUGAACGCAUAUUGCGCUCUCUGGUAUUCCGGAGAGCAUGCUUGUUUGAGUAUCAGUAAACACCUCAACUCCCUUUUCUUUUUUGAAAUUGGAGCUGGACUUGAGUGAUCCCAACGCUUUCUUCCAAGAAAGUGGCGGGUUGCUUGAAAUGCAGGUGCAGCUGAACUUUUCUCUGAGCUAUAAGCAUAUCUAUUUAGUCUGCCGAAAAAACAGAUUAUUACCUUUGCUGCAGCUAACAUAAAGGAGACUAGUUCUUGUGCUGACUGAUGCAGGAUUCACAGAGACAGCUUCGGCUGACUUUGUAAACUCGAUCUCAAAUCAAGUAAGACUACCCGCUGAACUUAAGCAUAUCAAUAAGCGGAGGA
rnacentral:misc_RNA from 1 species